GAUCAUGGCUCAGGACGAACGCUGGCGGCUCGCCUAACACAUGCAAGUCGAACGAGCGAGAGAGAGCUUGCUUUCUCGAGCGAGUGGCGAACGGGUGGGUAACGCGUGAGGAACCUGCCUCAAAGAGGGGGACAACAGUUGGAAACGACUGCUAAUACCGCAUAAGCCCACGGGUCGGCAUCGACCAGAGGGAAAAGGAGCAAUCCGCUUUGAGAUGGCCUCGCGUCCGAUUAGCUAGUUGG
rnacentral:rRNA from 1 species